CUCCUCUUCCAGUGUAGGUUCACUACCCGUGUCUGGCAUGCGGUGGUCGCCUGGCUCGGCAUGCAGGACCACUCGCCACUGAUUCGGCGCCAUGAAGACAUGGUUCAAGAUUGGUGGCUUAAGACGAUAAACUCUGGAGGGCACAUCAAGAAAGCCACUGCCUCUGUUCUGAUGCUUGCCAUGUGGGAAAUGUGGAAGGAGCGGAACGCAAGAGUCUUUCGCAGCACGGCUUCACCGACCACCAUUAUUGUUGCCAAGAUCAAAGAGGAGGCCCAUCUUUGGGCGUUGGCGGGAGCCAACCACCUGAGUGAGCUUAUGUCGCGAGAGUAA
rnacentral:rRNA from 1 species